rnacentral:rRNA from 1 species
GACGUAGGGCGCGAGCGUUGUCCGGAAUUAUUGGGCGUAAAGAGCUCGUAGGCGGUCUGUCGCGUCUGCUGUGAAAACUCAGGGCUUAACCCUGAGCUUGCAGUGGGUACGGGCAGACUAGAGUGCGGUAGGGGAGACUGGAAUUCCUGGUGUAGCGGUGGAAUGCGCAGAUAUCAGGAGGAACACCAAUGGCGAAGGCAGAUCUCUGGGCCGUAACUGACGCUGAGGAGCGAAAGCAUGGGGAGCGAGCAGG